GACGAACGCUGGCGGCGUGCUUAACACAUGCAAGUCGUACGGUAAGGCCCUUUCGGGGGUACACGAGUGGCGAACGGGUGAGUAACACGUGAGUAACCUGCCCACAACUUUGGGAUAACGCUAGGAAACUGGUGCUAAUACUGGAUAUGUGCUCCUGCUGCAUGGUGGGGGUUGGAAAGCUCCUGCGGUUGUGGAUGGACUCGCGGCCUAUCAGCUUGUUGGUGGGGUAGUGGCCUACCAAGGCGGCGACGGGUAGCCGGCCUGAGAGGGUGACCGGCCACAUUGGGACUGAGAUACGGCACAGACUCCUACGGGAGGCAGCAGUGGGGAAUAUUGCACAAUGGGCGCCAGCCUGAUGCAGCAACGCCGCGUGCGGGAUGACGGCCUUCGGGUUGUAAACCGCUUUCAGCAGGGACGAAGCUUUUUGUGACGGUACCUGCAGAAGAAGCACCGGCUAACUACGUG
rnacentral:rRNA from 1 species